CUCACAACCCCAAGAUCAAGAGUCACAUGCUCUACCGACUAAGCCCACCACGACUGGCUGUUGUUUAUCUCCUUGGUUUGAAUGGGAGCUCCAGAGCCGCACCCCAGCCUUGAAGCAUGCCUGGAACCUGCUGCCCCAGCCCUCAGCCAGAACCCUUGGGAGGCUGGAGAAAUGAAAAGAAGAAGGAAGUCAGUGGGGAGUUGGGUUCAGUCCAAGAGGAUCAGCUUCCCGUCAGGGCUGACUCGUGGAUGCUGCCCUGGCCUGUGAAGUGAGGCCACGGGGUUUCUUCAGCCAAGAGGACAAAAGGCAUGUGCAGCAGAGAUUGCUGCUCACGAGACACCCAUGGGCCCCCUUCAGUUCCCAGCUCCCGUGUAUCUUCAUGAGGCUGUAAGCAGGAGUGAAGGCAAUCUCUUCCAGGUCAGGUCCUGCACAUCCCUCUGCUCUCUCCCUGCCACUGCCAUCUGGGAGGCCAUGUAUUCCUUAUGGUGUAGCUACAGGAUGAGGGAGGGCUGUCUGUCCUACGCUGGACUUUGAGCAAGAAAUAAACCUUUACUACGUUAAGCCGUUGAGAUGGGGGGGGAGGGUUCUGUUAGCAUGGCGUAAGCUAUCCUAUCCUAAUACAAAAUCCCUUUUGGAUGCUCACUGGGGGCCCCUACCUUGAGGUGGCUGUCAGAGAUCUGGACUUUGUCACACAUCUCUUGGAAGAGCUUCACACCUCCCUGGUCCAGGAGCACACAGACAAACACCCCACGCUUGUUGGCCGCCUCUAGAAUGUCACAGAAGAUCUCCACAUCUGUGAACAUAUCCAUCACGAUGGCCAGGACCUGGGCCAGGGCAGAGGGGUGGAAACAAAAAGAGUCAGGGGCCAGGUGCUAACUGGUUUCAGCAGAGUUUCCCAAGUCCCGGUGGCCCUAAGAGAGCAGUUCCCAUUGCUGCUGCCCUGGAGGAGAAAGCGUGAGAUGGGGGGCUCGCCAGGGCAGCAUUCGAGGGAACAGAGCUGGAGGGGAGGCCUCCGCCCUGACUCCAUCUGUCCAGCCCAACCACUGACCGUCCAGCCUCCCGGCCCACUGCUGGAGUGCGGCAUGCACGGGAGGAAGGAGACGAAGGCAGAGAAGGAGCACAAGGAGGGGAAAAGGAGAACAGGAGGUGACCAGGCAGGCUCAGAGCUGAGGGAUGGAUUCAACGUCCCGGGUGCUCAGCCAUGUGGAGCUCGAAGGCACUCUAUGGCCCCUGGUUUUCAAAUGUUUUUAAGCCACGCAAUACUGCCUCGAACAAAAUCCCCGUGGAGACCCUACAGAUCGACUGGACAAGGCUGAGCUGCCCCAAUGGGAUGCAGAAGGGAGUCCUCCUCUAUCAUAACAGAAUCCUGGGGAGGGGGGCAGAGAGCCCUAGAAAUCCAGCAAAAGGGGGAGACGUGUGUACGCCCGCCUGCCAAGGACCCACCCCUCCUGUUGCCAGCCAAUCUCACUUUAAUCAAUCACUUCUCCACAAGCAACGUGACUUGGGCGGGGCCACUGCCAGGCGUCGGAUUGGGCGCGGGGAGGGCACAUCACCAAGGCCAGACCAAUGAGAGCACGGCAUCCCCUGCUGGCCACAGAGAUUGGCCCAGGGCUGCUCACAUGACCUAAGUUAUUCUAAUGAGGGCCGGCCCAGGACUUCUGCUGGGCCUGGGGGAAAGGAGCGGGGGUUGCUCGGCUCGUGGAGGAGGAGCUACAGCUGCUAGCAGCCAUCUUGCCGCCACGUGGGGACAGCCUGCCUGAAAAUGAAGUCAGCCCCCGCGGAAGCAGGACCAAGCACAUUGCCAGCAGCAUCCUUCGAACAUCUGGUUUCAGUCAUGCUUGGAAGUCAGUCCUACCCUUGACUUUCCCACUGUAGAUGUCAGUGCAUGCUCCUCUUCUUAGACUUGUUUGGGGUUGUUUUCCACGGUAUUGUGAUUUAUAAAAAGAAAUGUAUAUUUGGUCUUUGUCCUUGUUUCUGGCACCAAGCUCUAAAACACUUGGAAUUUCCUAAGUGGUGAGAGCGGAGAGAUAAAGGUCCUUUGUUAUGUUAAUGAGGUGACUUUUGGAUGAGGGCUGGUUGCCUGGGGAACCAACUAAGUGAUUAGAGGGUUGGAAUUUUCUGUCCCUCCUACCCCCCUACCCCAAGGAAGGAGAGAGGGGCUGGAGGUUGAAUCAACUGCCAAUGUCAAUGAUGUAAUCAUUCGUGGUGUAACUGAAGCCUACCUAAAAACCCAAGAGGAUGGGUUCAGAGAGCUUCUGGGUUGGUGAUUUGGGGAGAGCAGAGUGCUCAGAGAAGGUAUGGAACUUCCAUGCCCUUCCCCAUACCUUGCUCUGUGCAUCUCUUCCAUCUGGCUGUUCCUGA